UAGUAAUUUAAAACUUAUUUCCAAGGCAUAAAUAUUUAUUUGGGUCAACUCAUUUUAAGUCAAACUGAUAAAAUAAAACCUUUAUUAAGUAACAGCAGUUUCAGACUUUUAUUAGUUGUGAAACAAACACUAAAACUGCACAACGCGCAGUGUAAACAACAAUAAAAAUUUAACCACAAUAUUUGCGUAAAGUAAUCUAAUAUACCGUAAUGUACGGCCCACCAGGAGGACCUCAUCACCCACCGCAUCAUCCUCAUCAUCGCCCACCCCCUGGGCCGCCUCAUCAUCCACCACACCAUCUCCCACCGCCUGGGCCCCCACAUCAUCAUCAUCAUCAUCACCCCCCACCGCCGCAUCAUCACCGCCCACCGCCGCAUCAUUACCCUCCGCCACCGCAUCAUCACCCUCCCGGACCGGGGGGACCAUUUCUACGAUGAAAAGCGGAGUCUUAUUAGAUCUUCGAAUUUAUUUAAAUUACUUGAAUAAAAAUUAAUGAAAUUUGA